ACUGCAUUAUGAGCACUUAAAGU
rnacentral:miRNA from 8 species